GAUGAACGCUGGCGGCGUGCCUAACACAUGCAAGUCGAGCGAUUCUCUUCGGAGAAGAGCGGCGGACGGGUGAGUAACGCGUGGGUAACCUGCCCUGUACACACGGAUAACAUACCGAAAGGUAUGCUAAUACGGGAUAAUAUGCUUUAGUCGCAUGGCUGAAGCAUCAAAGCUCCGGCGGUACAGGAUGGACCCGCGUCUGAUUAGCUCGUUGGUAAGGUAACGGCUUACCAAGGCGACGAUCAGUAGCCGACCUGAAAGGGUGAACGGCCACAUUGGAACUGGGACACGGUCGAAACUCCUACGGGAGGCAGCAGUGGGGAAUAUUGCACAAUGGGCGAAAGCCUGAUGCGGCAGCGCCGCGUGAGCGAUGAAGGCCUUCGGGUCGUAGAGCUCUGUCCUCAAGGAAGAUAAUGACGGUACUUGAGGAGGAAGCCCCGGCUAACUACGUGCCAGCAGCCGCGGUAA
rnacentral:rRNA from 1 species